rnacentral:rRNA from 1 species
UGGCAUUAGGAUUGCUAUUGCACCACAUGUGUUUUUCUUUGAAACAAACUUGCUUUGGCGGUGGGCCCAGCCUGCCGCCAGAGGUCUAAACUUACAACCAAUUUUUUAUCAACUUGUCACACCAGAUUAUUACUUAAUAGUCAAAACUUUCAACAACGGAUCUCUUGGUUCUCGCAUCGAUGAAGAACGCAGCGAAAUGCGAUACGUAAUAUGAAUUGCAGAUAUUCGUGAAUCAUCGAAUCUUUGAACGCACAUUGCGCCCUCUGGUAUUCCGGAGGGCAUGCCUGUUUGAGCGUCGUUUCUCCCUCAAACCGCUGGGUUUGGUGUUGAGCAAUACGACUUGGGUUUGCUUGAAAGACGGUAGUGGUAAGGCGGGAUCGCUUUGACAAUGGCUUAGGUCUAACCAAAAACAUUGCUUGCGGCGGUAACGUCCACCACGUAUAUCUUCAAACUUUGACCUCAAAUCAGGUAGGACUACCCGCUGAACUUAAGCAUAUCAAAA